GAUGAACGCUAGCGGCAGGCUUAACACAUGCAAGUCGAAGGGCAGCGGGGAGAGUGCUUGCACUCUCUGCCGGCGACUGGCGCACGGGUGAGUAACACGUAUGCAACCUGCCCUCCACAGGGGGACAACCUUCCGAAAGGGAGGCUAAUCCCGCGUAUAUCCCUUGGGGGCAUCCUUGGGGGAGGAAAGGAAUACCGGUGGAGGAUGGGCAUGCGGCGCAUUAGGCAGUAGGCGGGGUAACGGCCCACCUAACCGACGAUGCGUAGGGGUUCUGAGAGGAAGGUCCCCCACACUGGUACUGAGACACGGACCAG
rnacentral:rRNA from 1 species